CCCGCCCGUGCGUGGUGCCCUCGGGAAUCCUCGGCUGGAGCGACUGGCUGUCCUGCCGACCCCGGUCGGGGCAGAGCCCGGCCUGCAGCUGCGAGGACCGGAGCGGCGGAAGGUGGCGCCUCUGUCCUGGAGCCGGGAUUCGCGGCCAUGACAGUGUCGGCCUCCGCCUUCUGGCUGCUCCGCGGCCGCCUGGGCCGAGUGUCGGCGCUGGGCCGGAGCGCGGUGUCGCCCUUGGCGGCGCCGGGAACGGCCGGGCGCGCGUUCCGGGGCUUUCGGAGCAGCGUCUUGAGACAUGACGCAAUUAUUAUCUCAGGAACUGAAAUGGCCAAACAAAUCCAGAAAGAAAUACAGCGAGGUGUGGAAUCUUGGAUUUCUCUUGGGAAUGGAAGACCUCACCUCAGUAUCAUUUUAGUGGGUGAUAACCCAGCAAGCCACACAUAUGUCAGGAAGAAGAUCAAAGCUGCUGCUGCUGUAGGUAUCUGUAGUGAGAUCAUUCUAAAACCUAAGGAUGUUUCUCAGGAAGAACUUUUGGAUAUAACCAAUCAAUUGAACAUGGACCCAAGAGUCAGUGGUAUAUUAGUUCAGUUGCCACUGCCAGACCAUGUGGAUGAGCGGACAGUAUGCAAUGGAAUUGCCCCGGAAAAAGACGUAGAUGGAUUUCAUAUUAUUAACAUUGGAAGACUAUGCCUGGAUCAGCAUUCUCUCAUACCUGCCACUGCUAGUGCUGUUUGGGAAAUUAUCAAACGAACAGGAAUUGAAACAUUUGGAAAAAAUGUGGUUGUGGCUGGAAGAUCCAAGAAUGCAGGGAUGCCCAUCGCCAUGCUCUUACACACUGAUGGAGAGCACGAACGGCCAGGAGGUGAUGCAACUGUGACAAUAGCUCACAGAUAUACUCCCAAAGAACAACUGAAGAUCCAUACUCUGCUGGCAGAUGUUAUUGUAGUAGCUGCAGGUAUUCCGAAGUUGAUUACAUCUGAUAUGGUUAAAGAAGGUGCUGCUGUAAUUGAUGUGGGUAUCAACUAUGUCCAUGACCCAAUGACAGGAAAGACAAAAUUAGUUGGAGACGUGGACUUUGAAGAGCAGCAGUCCCAACUUUUUUAGGCACCAGGGACCAGUUCCAGUUUCAUGGAAGACAGUUUUUCCAUGGACAAGGGAGGAAGAUGGUUCAGGCGUUAACUCAAGCAAUGGGGAGCAAUGGGGAGCGGCAGACGAAGCUUCGCUCACUCACCCACCGCUCACCUCCUGCUGUGCGUCCUGGUUCCGAACAGGCCACGGACUGGUCUGUGGCCCAGGGACUGGGGACCCCUUCACUAGAGUACUAAUCCGGAAAUAUGUAACUUCACAUUUCAGUUACCACCCAGCUCCUCAUUACUUUUCUGGCCUCAGCUCUCUUCUGAUCAGAGAAGAGUGAAAGUUGAAGCACAAAAAGGCCAUCUACCAGAACAGAAGAAGUGCCUGAUGCCUCUGCAAGUCUUUCUUCUUUUAUACUGAAGGAUGAGAUUUCUUUUUUUUCUUUUUUUUUUUUUUGUAGUUGUUUCUCAGGACCUUUUAAAAAUAAAAGUUUCUUUGGAAGGGAAAUUUUAUCUCCUAGUGUCUUGGGUUGAUAAUGACAGACUACUGGGAUCAAGACCCUGCCAAGAGAUUUUGAGAAGACUCCAAACAGCCUAUCUAGUUUACAGAUUUGCCACUCUAUUGUACAAAUGUUCAGAAGCUUGAGGAAAAGGAUUGGGUAGGAAAGUAAAAGGAUUGGGGAGAAUGGCAGGAGUAAAUGAUAAUUUUUUGUAAAGGAAGUCAUGAAAGGAAGAUAUUUUCAGUCAUGUUGAUCGAGUACUAGAAAUAUCCUAGCAGUGAUUCCCUACUCCUGCCCACCAAAAUAGAAAUUGGCAAUGAUGGCUGAUACCAUUCAUGGUCAGAAAGGAGGUUCCUCUGGUGGGUCAUAGACGGAGUUUAUAGAAAACAAUUUCAGAAUUUCAUCGGGUGAUUGAUUUGCUAUUUGGCUCCAUUGAAAGCCUUCCGAGUUGUGUGAGUGGCAGUUUUGGAUAUUAAUAUCUAUGAUACAGUAGCUGGAUAUACAUAGAUUUGAUUUAACAUAAGAAGAAAAGUAACUAAAGCUAAAACAAAAAAGGAGGAAAAGGCUUAGCCACCUUACCCAUUCAGGUAAUACAGUAAACAGGUGAAGGAAGUCCUUGUAAGUACAACUUAUAGAAAUGUGUCCAGAGUCUCAUAUUCUUGUCCCCAGUAGGGCAUUAAUCCUGUCUGUCCCAUUAAUACCCCCACUGGGUGCCAUGAUAAUGAAUAUCUUAAUAUAUGUAAAAAAAAAAACACAAAACCUUGUAGACACCCCAGGAAUCAGGCAGCUAGGUAAAUGCAAGAGAAAGCGUAGUAAAUUGUCUCUGGGGCACCUGAUUUCUCGCUGCCUUGCAAGAAUUCAGUGGCAAGCCAUUCACUUCUCAAGGAGCCCUUUACUCUGGCUCAUCAUGCUCUCAAGUGCCAUUUUUUUUAUCAACCAUAUGAGAAAGUAGAGUGUUUUCCAUACUAUCUCCUGAGUCAUACUAUUUCUCCAGUCUUGUGCCAGUCAAGUUUUUCUGGUUGUUAUUCAUGCACUUCAUUUUCCUGAAGCGUGUCUCCCCUUCAUUAUAGUGGAUAUGUUUGAGACAUCAUGCCUAAAUGGACUGCAUUUAGAAGCAAGGGGAAAUCUCCAAGCAUUUAACUUAGGCAAUUGCACAUGUAUAGGAGGAGGCUGAAAUUCACAUGAAAGGAAUGAGGAGUUUUUCUUCCGCUGCUCGUUGCCACAGAUAAGGAAUCAUCCCUUUUUCCUUUUGGAGAAGGGGGUUUGUUUUAAAAAUUAGUUGUAGCGUUGUUGGAAAUCUGACAUGGGCUAUAGAGUACUUCCUUGAAAGAGACAGAGAAUUGGACAAAAUAUAAAGGGAAAUAAAACAAUACUACAGGAACUUGAGAUAUCAAUUCCUCC